rnacentral:rRNA from 1 species
UACGGGGGGGGCAAGCGUUGUUCGGAAUUACUGGGCGUAAAGGGCGCGUAGGCGGCCUUCUAAGUCGAACGUGAAAUCCCCAGGCUUAACCUGGGAACUGCAUCCGAUACUGGAUGGCUUGAAUUCGGGAGAGGGAUGCAGAAUUCCAGGUGUAGCGGUGAAAUGCGUAGAUAUCUGGAGGAAUACCGGUGGCGAAGGCGGCAUCCUGGACCGAGAUUGACGCUGAUGAGCGAAAGCUAGGGGAGCAAACGGG